GUUUUCUAACAUUAGUGGUCAGGAAGGUGACUUCUACUUUCGAACAGGCAUCAGAGCAGAUAAAAAAUGACAUUGGUGAGUGGAGUUAAUUACUAGAUCAUGUAAUGAGAUGUAUGAGAGCCAUGGCUGUGAGAGGGAGGCCUUGUGGAGGAUAUCUUGUCGUCUGCAAGGUUUUAUUCCUAUACUUGUCAACAUCGCAAGGGUCACCGACACUUACAAUACUCAACGCUACAGACCCGUUGGUGCUUGAACCAAACACAACAUUGGAAGUCUUGUUCUCCCUAAAGGAUGUCGGGAGUGACAAUCUUACUUAUGCAAUCUUCGUCAAUCAUAAAGCCCCUGGAUCGAACAUCUCUUUCUUAAAAUGCGUCUUGCAAAAAACACCCGAGAACUGCAGCUCAACCAAAAAAGAGUGUAAAUGUAGUGGUGGACAUGAGUACAGCCUGAAGAAAGGUUUUCAAGAGAAAGACAUGGGAGAAUGGACUUUUACUACUUCUGUGAAAAAGGUCUCUACUACAGCAACAAUAAAUAUUGCACGAAGUUUAACAACUCCAGCUGAAGAAGAAAUCAGGGAACCCUCAAACGAUGUCACCUCACCAGGGAAAGCUAGUAUCCAGACCUCACCAGAGGCAACUUUUAUUCAGAGUUCACCAGAUAAAACUGUUGGCCUAACCUCACCAAGGAAUCUCCUGUCCAGACCUCAUCGCCCAAUAGUUGCAGUCCCACUGUGACAGAAGCUUCUUGCCCUCCGACAACUGCUGCAAAUGGUGAAUGCCAAGUCAUUGUCUUCAUCGUCGCCGGCACAUGUGGUCUGAUGAUCGUCUUCAACAUCAUCUCUUGCUCUUUCUUCUACGCCAUAGCCAAGCAAAGUCGCCGUGUCCUGGCUGCGCCUGCUUCUGGUCAGUCAGAGAGCAAGACGAGGAGACUUGACAUGGAUCCUAUACAGAAGCCACAAUUCAGCUGUAACUCCUGGAGAGAAAAGAAAAAGCUCACAGCCCGCCCUUCGACCUCCAGCUCCGAAGAUGACGUCAGCUACGCAUGCGUCUACGUCGACACCGGACUCUUCCCGAUCUUUGACGAGUAGAGCGACAAUCAGAACGAGGCUAUUAAAUAAUACCUGAGCAAAGAGAGUAUUUUCAUAAACGGGUCGAAAACCAGGUACAAUGCGGAGGAGAACAAAGGUUCCCACCUACAGGUAGUUCUGUUUUCCGGGAAACUGUCAGAAAAUGUUUUUCUUUUUUUUCUUCCAGGAAGCUGUCUUCUAAACGAUUUGUUGUAGUUUUGUUUUGAAGAGUGAAGAGCAAGUGGAACAAGAGCUUUUGCUUUAUUAUUUGAUGUAAAACAGCCACGCCUCUUCCUUGUAUUAUUGUUCUCUCAGAAGCAUUCAAAACUGAAAUCAAGUUUUAUUACAUCAUUCUGAUUUCACACUUAUUGACUUUCAUCUGCUGUCGAUGGAGCUUUCUUCUUUAUUUGCUUUUUUGUUUUGUUUUGUUUU